CCUACGGGUGGCAGCAGUGAGGAAUAUUGGUCAAUGGGCGGAAGCCUGAACCAGCCAAGUCGCGUGAGGGAGUAAGGCCCUACGGGUCGUAAACCUCUUUUGCCGGGGAGCAGUGCCCAGCUCGUGAGCUUGGCGGGAGCGUACCCGGAGAAAACGCAUCGGCUAACUCCGUGCCAGACGCCGCGGUAAUCCGGAGGUAGCGAGCGUUAUCCGGAUUUAUUGGGGUUAAAGGGUGCGUAGGCGGGCCUUCAAGCCGGCGGUAAAAUUGCGGGGCUCAACCCCGCCGAGCCGUCGGAUCCGGGGGCCUUGAGUACCGGAGAAGUACGGGGAAUGCGUGGUGUAGCGGUGAAAUGCAUAGAUAUCACGCAGAACCCCGAUUGCGAAGGCAGCGUACCGGCCGGUCACUGACGCUGAGGCACGAAAGCGCGGGUAUCGAACAGGAUUAGAUACCCGUGUAGUC
rnacentral:rRNA from 1 species